rnacentral:pre_miRNA from 1 species
CUGUGACCUGGUUCAAGUAAUCCAGGAUAGGCUGUGUGCAAUCUAAUUGGCCUAUUCUUGGUUACUUGCACUGGGAGGCAA